GGCGUGGCAUACUGAGAUGGAAUCCAAUAGAGCACAAUAAUUUGCUAAGUGGGUUAAUAUUUAAAGGGGCGCUUUAGAAUCCUGCUUCUAAACAAUAACACGACAUGUCCUCGUCUACCCUUACCAAAAGAGGCUUCUGUAGUACUAGCUAGUCCAGGGUGGCUAACUGUGAGAAGGUUAGUGCUACGAGUGUCUAAGCGACUACAAGGAAAUUACAACUCAAUGUAAACUAACAGACGGACCAGCGAGAAAGGUUGAAUUGGGAAUGCCAAUCACUGAUAACUUUUUUAUAAAAAGAUUAUUUAAAACAUCAACUUAAAACAUUAACUGCUGAUGUCUAGUGAUAAUUUCUGCUUAUUUUUCUGCUAGUAGUAAAGAACAAAUAUUUUAUAUUUCCCCUUAAAGCAAUUCACUGUGUUUGUGUAUAAUAACCCCAAAACAGAUAACAAGAAUUUGUUUCUGCAGGCUCUUGUGGAUCCAUGUGCUGGUAGGGGAGUGGAAUGGGUCAAAGGUUAUCCAAACAACAAAUCGGUAACGACUGAAAAAUCAGAUACAAAGUUGUAUGUGUGCAUUGAUCCCAAUGGCUAUUCAGGAAAACUGCACCUUACUCCAAAUGGCUGGCGAUGUCUCAUAGGAUUUGGGAAUCAGGGUCAUGCUCACGAUGACUACUCCAUACUUCAACAAAAGCCAUGCAUGUAAGGCAUCUACAAUGACUGUCUCACUGCAGAACCACACCUCCUUUCAGUAAUGAAGGUUAUGAAUCACAACGGUUAUGAAUACUCAUUAUUACAUUACAUAAUAGGCAGUGAAGUUUUAUUAUUUGUACAAAUUAUUCUGGAGUUUUAUGCUUUUGCUUGCAACGCAAGUGGCAAACCUUUUAAUAGUAAUCUCAUAGUGAAUAUGAUGAAAGAGGAAUGAAACAUCAUAUGGACUUUAGACAGAAGAGGGGAUGUCCUCAAAUGUACACUAUAGAGAAGAUCCUUAUACAAAAAAAAAUAUUAUGUGAGAAUUUGAAUGCUUGCUUAUAUGCGCAAAUUCAUGACAUGUAUGCUACACUCAGUGUUCCAGAAUCAAUAAACAGCAUAUUAUGUGUUGUUUUCACUCUAAAAAAAAUUAAGCCUCAAACUCAUUGUUUUCAUAGAAAUAUGUAUUCUUACUUGCAAAGAUUUAGCUGGUAGCUGCUUUAUUAAGAAAAUAAUUUACUUGUAUGAAGAAGGCGGUGGUGGUGUGGGAGUGCUUUUCUGGUGUAUGAGCUGAGGGGACAAGGAAUGUUAAUUAUAUGUAUGUGUAAGAUAUAACUUAGAGGCUUGGCAUUCUUUGUUUAGUCAUACCAUAUAACUAUUCUUCUGUUUCCAUGGAGAUGGAUAACUUACUAGACACGACAAUCCUGGGACGUUGAUUUAUAACACCAUCUAACCUAAUGUCAACUGUUAGAUGGUGGGAAUCAGCAGAGAGAAACUAACACUGGUGAGAGCUGUGAUAGUAACAUCUGGAGACAUGUACUAUGACUGAUGAAUUAACACUGAAGAAGUCUCUAUAUCUGAUUCAUUCUUUCACCUGUGCAAAUCUACAUGAACAGCUAGUAACCUAACAGUUAUGUAGAUCAAACACUGGGG
ensembl:lncRNA